rnacentral:snoRNA from 1 species
UGGAAAUGAUGAAAUAGAGAUAAUUGGGUGUUGAAUGUUGUAUGAUUGGAAGAUUUUAAUACGUAAGUAAUCUAAUAUUUUUUAGCUAUUUGUUAGAGUGUGUGUGCAUGUGUGUGUGCUUGUGGAGGCUAUGAAAAGGGGGCACUGACUGGUGAUGCUGACGUUGGAGUGCAUCUGAGGCUGUUGUAGAAAUACAUGGGUUGUUGAUUACAACAUUGCCGAUGAUUAUAACCCAAGAACAGCUCACCUAAGUAGCCUAGCACCCUAAAAUCUCUAACAGGUUCAUUAAACAUGAUCCUGUGAUCUGAUCCAA